GCCUCUGCCUCACAAGUGCUGGAUUAAAGGUGUGCGCUACCAUGACUGUCUACUUUUUGUCUUUCCAUCCAGAGAAGAGGCUGGUGGUUUGAGCAGGAAGAGAAGGACAGGUGGCAUAGAGCAUUAAAGGCCACCUAGUGUCAGUGAUGCAGAUGAUUGCACAGGCCACCAGCUACCAACAGCUGAGCUUUUGUGCAAUGAUCUCCCUCAGCUAAGAAUCCCGCUGUUCUCUUUCUCCCCACCCCUUUCUCUCUGUGUGUUUAUGUACACGUGCAUGUCAGAGGUCAACAGACUUCUUCAUCACUUGAUUUACACUUUGCUUCUUUGAGGCAGCGUCACUCACAGACUGUGGCCAGCAAGUCCCAGGAAUUGUCCAUCGAUGAGAUUAUAAGCAUACACUGCCAUGUCUAGCUUUUUACGUGCCUGGCUGUGGAUCCAAACUUAAGUCUUCAUGCUCAUGUGGCGAGCAGUUUAUGAAUUGGGCCAUCUUCCCAGCCCUGAUUCCUGCUAUUCACAAAGCUAUUAUCAUGAAACAACCUUUAUUUUAGGAGAUAGAACUUGGCAAGUGUACAUGUGGAGAAACUAUAGAUUGGUUACCAACACAGGUAGUAUUUUUGGUAGAAGUGAACAUAAAAUGUACAUAGAUGCUUAAGAAGGCAGGGAGGAAAUACAGAAAACAAGCAUUGCCAUACAAAGAGUCAACCAUAAUAAAGUGAGACCAAAGGAACACACACAAGCCUAAAGAACAGUUCUGAGCACAAAGCAACAAGCUACUGCAGAGCAAGACAAACGGCCGUUAAAUAACCUGGCGGUCCAUCUCUGCAGGGGCUGAAAGGUGCUCUUUCUCCAGUGUGGAACCAGGACAUUGAUGUUAGCAUGUGAGCUCAUUGAUUCUUUCUUGGUCCUGGUUUCCUUAAUCACAGCCCGUCAUUUGCUUUCUAAGACGACGGUCUUAAAAUGGUUGAAAUGAAGAGCCACACAAAGCAUCUAUUAUGGGGCCAGAGGGUUGACAGGACAUGGAGCCCCUAACUACUCUAAGAUAUAAGCUAAAGGCUCCUGUUUCUAAGAUCUUCCACCUCCUAACGAAAAAGGAUUGACUACGACCUUAAAGCAAGGGCUAAAGCAGCCGAGCUAUCCAGGAGAUGGCCGGUACCCUGGGAGGAGUUCUCACAUUGUCCCUGAGUUCAGCUCACACUUCCAGCAGCGCUGGUAUUGCAAACACAUCUCAUUCAGUAUGAACUUUCUCUUUACUCUGUGAUGUGACCUGGCUGGUUCCCCGUUACCCAAGGUCAAAACCAAUUCUCAUCUCUCAUAUUCCCUAUGUUGGAAAAUUGUCUGUUUCUGUAUUGGAGUAUGCUUGAAUUUAUGUCUUCUGUUCCGUGAGUACCUCCCUUCCUCUGGUCCUGAGUCUCUCCUCUUGCCCUCUCUCUCCUUGGAUCCUGGAUCUUCACCCACAUCUUCUUUCCUCGGUCUGGUUCUUGGUGUCUGUUCUCACCUUCCCUCCUCUGGUUCUGUUUCCAUCCUCAAAAUUUCUCAGACCCCGGUCACCAUCAUCACCUGCUCCCUUGAUGGUCCCGGGUCAACAUCAUCACCUUCUCCCCUGAUGGUCCCGGGUCAACAUCAUCACCUUCUCCCCUGAUGGUCCCGGGUCAACAUCAUCACCUUCUCCCCUGAUGGUUCCGGGUCAACAUCAUCACCUUCUCCCCUGAUGGUUCCGGGUCAACAUCAUCACCUUCUCCCUUGAUGGUCCCGGGUCAACAUCAUCACCUUCUCCCCUGAUGGUCCCGGGUCAACAUCAUCACCUUCUCUCUCUUAGUCCUAAGUCUUCACCCUUUGCCCCUUUCCCUCUGGCUCUAGGUCCUCAUUUGCACCUCCCUUUCUCUGAUUUAGGGUCCUCUCCCUCAUAUUUUCCUCUCUGGUCCUGAGUCUCCAUUUCUACUUGUUCAUAUCCAACCGCCUACUCCAAGAACUUAAUGUCGCCCUCUGCUCUUCUUUCUCAGAGGAAAUGGAAGAUCAGCCAGAUCCAGGGAGAUAUUCAGGGUCCAGAGGAUCUUCAGUUCCGGAAGGUCACCAAGUGCUGAGGUUGUCUUCUAGCCUCUGCCUUGGAUUGACACCACUGUGCCUUCAACAGGACACCACUCCCAUAAGCGGAUUCACAGGGCGACACAGGGUUUCACGUUCUGGCUCUGUUUGGAUGGAAGUCUGUUGGAAGAGGCAGACUCCUUGCUCUGCAGAUUGAAUAACCAAGAAAUGUUGAAGAACGGAGUUUGGAAAGCUACCUUUUCUUCUCGUCACCUUUACCAUAUGUGGGUGACACGUUCAAGGCUGCUUGGACCAUGAUUCCACCUCUUCCCUUGGUCAUAGCUCUAAAACCUCUGGGUAGGCACGAUUGUCACAGAUGCCGUAUUUCUCUGGAAACGCAGAGACCUGGCGUUUGGCCUUUCUUACAGAUGAGAGUGAAGGUGAGCAGAGAGUCUUGGAAUCUACUUGGAACAUGCUGACUCCGGGAGGAGCAAGCUUUCGGAUGGUCUUCCCAUACCAGAGCACAGACUGGCAAUAUUGAGCCACCACAGCAAACAUGCCUGAAGUGAUGUUUAGGUCAUCGGAGUUAACUAAGCAAGCUUUAUGAAGACAGUUUGAAUCAUGCUUCUUUUCUGGUAUCUUGUAAUCAAAAUAACCCCAAGUCAUUUACCUCUUUUCCAACAUAAAAGCUUAUUUGUUCUUCUUAAAUUAAAACUACUAUUUUUUAUAGUUUAUUAUCAAUUUCAAAAUAAUGUACCUGUAAAAUCCGGAAACAUGCAUGGAAUGAUUCGAUCAUUACAAGGGUAAUGCAUUCAAGUGUGUUUGCUAAUUAAAAAGAAUUCUCAGAGCAGGUUCUUGCUUUGUGCUAUGGUUCUCACAUUCUAUUCACGACUGGUCAUUUUCUUUUUUCUUUUCUUUUUGUCCACUGGAUGUCAUUUCAGGAGAAUAUUUUGCUUUUUGAGUGUUAGUAUUCAAGCUCCCUCAGCUGGGGUCACCAUGCUCUCUCCCACUUAGCCACAGCUCUUCAAGUCGGCGGGGCAUGUGGCCCUGGUGUCACCAUCAGCCAGGUGACCUCGGCUCAUUAGAGGUGUGUUAAUGAGGCCACCGUCUCAGGCCCCUGCCACGUGCAGACUGGCACUGUUUCUGUGAGUUGGAGUGGCCAGGGUCACCUCUCCUUCCAGCAGGUCAUCUGACAAAUGCACACCACUGGUCAUAGGCAAAAGAUCCCACUGGGCAAUUUAGAAACAUGCACAGAAAUUUACUCCCAACUUCCUCUGAUUGACCGGAAGCAUCACAGCAUUACAGUCUUUAGUUGGGGUUGCUGAACGGGCGUCUCUACAAGGCACUUUUACAUAAGACCCAUCGCAUGAGCACAUCCAAAUGGCCGCAUUACACUUUUGAAA